UCAGACGGCAGUGCUGGUCGUUUCCUCACUGGUUUGGGGUGAUUCAGGGAUUGGAUGAGUCUCUAUGGUUUGUUUUGCCCUGAAGAGCAGAAGGCUUCUGUCCCAACUGGUGUUGCCAAAGCAACAUAUUAAUUCCAUGCCAUGAUCCUGGGUCAAGAUCUGCACAAUCUGAUUGGGCAUGUCACCUCGGAUGGCAAGGGAGUGGAAGUGGUCAAAAUCAUGGAGUCCUAGCUUUCGGAGACGCCUUGCAGCUGCCCGGUAACACUUCCAGGGUUGGGGCUCCACAAGGAGGUAGCGGCAGAGGGAGGAAAGAUGGGCCAGGAACUCCCAUAGGCCAUGGUCUCCAUGAUUCAGAUGAAUCCACAUGGUUAUUGACAUGCAGAAGCCAAUGUCAAAAACUGAACGUCCAAAUUGGCUUAAGAAAGAGCUCAAGAGAACCUUCCGGGUCCUUUGAUUCAUGAAGUCCAGGGUGAUAAAAGUCAAGGCAUCAGGAAAAGGACAUUCUUUUUCGGCUCGCUUCACCAGGACUGGAUCUAUGUCGCAGCAGAGGAGACGGAAUUCUCUUGAGGCAUCUGAGCAGGUCUCCCCGUCAGGUAGGGAGAGGAAGUGUUUGUAUAGAGCCACACUCAGAUCCUAGAGGAAUCCAAAACAGCUUUGUCACUGCAGUUCUCAAUCAGUGAAUGGAAGAGAAAUCUGUAUCAUUCUCCCACUGAGAAUGCCACUUACCUCUGGCUGUAUAGGAUGUGAGGUUCC
rnacentral:lncRNA from 1 species